CGUUUUACCAAAGCAUCGUUGUCCAACAACGGUCGCCAGUUUCUUGAAUUGUGUUGUAAACGACGGUUUGUGAAACGUACUAACGAUAUCGUUUCACGGUGUUGUUAUCGUUAUAGUUGUGGUGUGAACGGGCCUUUAGAGUGACUCCUUAUGGAAGUGACUAAGUUAGUGGUGUACUUCUGACCUACAUGAAGAGCACACUAGAAGUCUGUCAUGACUCAGAUCGGAUAGAGACGCUCCCAAAGCCUCAGAACAUGCAGCGGCACGCAGAUCAUGCUGAGGAGAAACUGCCCGUGUGUUUGUGUGAGAGGGAGAGACCUUCACGAGCGUUACGGCGAUCCUCAGCUUCAGAGCGUGGCAUUCCUGGACAUGGAUUUCACAUCAACUUGGGCUUGAUGAAGAAAGAAAAAUGUAAGGGUCCACUGAAAGAGGAGAUGAACGAGCUGAACUGAGGGGAAUCAAACACAACUGCACAGG